CAGUGGAAACAAGGGUUUCUGGGGGGGAGCGUGCUAGCCUGGCGUUGCUAACAAAAUGUAUCCCAGUUAACGUUCUCUUUGCACCUAGUUCCACUUUGUCCGAAGAUUACCUUUUUUUUUCUUUUUUACCUAAAUUCGGAAUGGUAGGCUGGAUUGAAGGUUUCCAUCAUGGGUGUUUUUGGCCCUGCACAUAUGGAUUCAGUGAGGCGGCUGCCUGAGCGAUCACGGUACUUGCUACGGUGACAGCAGUCCUUCUGUAAUCACAGUGGGAACGUCACUGAGACAGCCCACAGCUUGUGACAUCACGGCCAGUGUCUUGAUGAGUGCUAAAUGGGCCCAGCUGCAAGGGCUGAUAUUAAUGGCUUCCAUAAGCUUGCCCACCCCUCCCAUUGCUGGUAUGGCACUGGGCUCAGGAAACAGAAAUGCGAUCCACACUUCCACCGCUGUUCUGCGGCAGGCUUGGCUUGGCGCUCCUCCAGCCAGCUGCCUGUUUUCCCGCUGCAUGGGAACAUCCUGCCUGGCUGCGACGGGGGACCUCCCUGCCCACCCCAGGCAAGCAGUCUCACUCUCUCUCUCUUUUUCACACACACGCAAACACAGGAAAGUUGGACAUCUCUGACCGUACACAUUCAAAUAAGGCUUCACACUUCAAAUAAGACUGUGUCACCUUUGUGCCUUAGAGAAGGAACACAAAGCAGAGUAGACACAAAACCUCUCCAAAUGAGGCUGAUUCUAUUUUGA
rnacentral:lncRNA from 1 species